rnacentral:rRNA from 1 species
UACGUAGGGGGCGAGCGUUGUCCGGAGUUACUGGGCGUAAAGGGCACGCAGGCGGUCGCGCAAGUUUGGAGUGACAGUCCUCGGCUUAACUGAGGAAGGCCUCUGAAAACUGUGGGACUUGAGGACCAGAGAGGGACAUAGAAUUCCGGGUGGAGUGGUGAAAUGCGUAGAUAUCCGGAGGAAUACCAAAGGCGAAGGCAGUGUCCUGGCUGGUCUCUGACGCUGAGGUGCGAAAGCCAGGGGAGCGAACAGG